GAAGGUAUAGCUCAAGUGGUAGAGCAUGUGUUUAGUGUGCAUGACGUCCUGGGUUCAAUCCCCAGUUUCUCCU
rnacentral:tRNA from 1 species